AGUGAACGCUGGCGGCAGGCCUAACACAUGCAAGUCGAACGGCAGCACAAGAGAGCUUGCUCUCUGGGUGGCGAGUGGCAGACGGGUGAGGAAUGCAUCGGAAUCUGCCCAUUUGUGGGGGAUAACCUCGGGAAACCGGGACUAAUACCGCAUACGACCUACGGGUGAAAGCAGGGGAUCUUCGGACCUUGCGCAGAUGGAUGAGCCGAUGCCGGAUUAGCUAGUUGGAGGGGUAAAGGCCCACCAAGGCGACGAUCCGUAGCUGGUCUGAGAGGAUGAUCAGCCACACUGGGACUGAGACACGGCCCAGACUCCUACGGGAGGCAGCAGUGGGGAAUAUUGGACAAUGGGCGCAAGCCUGAUCCAGCCAUGCCGCGUGUGUGAAGAAGGCCUUCGGGUUGUAAAGCACUUUUGUUGGGAAAGAAAAGCAGCCGGUUAAUACCCGGUUGUCAUGACGGUACCCAAAGAAUAAGCACCGGCUAACUUCGUG
rnacentral:rRNA from 1 species